AGGAAAAGCUGAGGGGACCUGCGUAUUUCCUUGUCCCCAGCACACUCAAGUUGGGGCAUUUCCUCCAGGAAAUGUCCCAGCUAGAAAAAGGUGGCUCUUGGCUACUCAGUCCUGCCUUUAGGGCUUAGUGCACUUCUCCUACAGACCCCCAGGGCACCAGCUACCCUUAGGGCUCACUUUUUAUUGAAAUCCAUUUGCUUUGACCCUGCUAUGCCUGUUUCCUUUCUCCUUCCCUUCCUUGCUUCCCAACUCCCUUUGCUAUCGCCAACUAGAGUGACUGGAAUUCCCACCCACUCAGCUCAGUCUCCAGCGGUGACAGCUCUGUGGAAGCUGGAACACAUUUGUGCUUCUGUUCUGCUACCCACAAGACAACACCCUCGCUGGCCGCAGCCAUAUUUUGUUUAUCACAGCCUCUGGGAACAUGCCGGGAAUGAUGAGACAGUGUACGUAUUAUCAUUUAAAGAAACUUAUUGUAAGUGCCAUUUAUAGGUUUCCUGUUAAACUUGCAGGCUAGUUUUAAGAUGUCAAAUUUCACAAGUGCUUUAUGCGGACACGUUAGAGGAAGCUUUUCAGAUGACGUUUACAUGGGUAAUGUUCACUUUAUAUCGAAGGCGUAUGUCUUUUGUUCAAAUUCACCCCAUACAUUGUCAUUUGGUUAAAUAAAUUUUUACUUAGGAAAAAAAA
rnacentral:lncRNA from 1 species